GGGAAUUUUCCCUGUAUAGAAGGCCCAGCUGAGCUCCGCAUGUGACUGAAGUAGUAACUUAACUCUUCAAAACCAGACUAUUUAAAUCUGUGGCCUCUAAGUGGAGAACCUGAAGACCCUUUGGGUCAAUAUCUGGUUUGUGUUCUUAUUGCCAGCCAAGGACCAAGUUUCUCUGCCACAGCACAAAGGAGAGGAGGAAAGAUGGAAGUUGGUGAAAUAAAAAUUUCAGUAGCAGUGAGAAGACUGUUACAAAAUGUAAGAGUUUAUAAUUUUUUUUUAAACUUUUUUCAAGUUGAGUGCAAUUCUACAGCAUUCAGAAAGGCAAAGAGU
rnacentral:lncRNA from 1 species